rnacentral:lncRNA from 1 species
GGACAAACGUAGCACAGGCGAGCGAACAAAAACAAACAAGUAACAAACGGCCGAACGACCGAUCGACCGACCAACGAAUAGAUGGAACAGCCAAACAAAAUGCCCAAACGCUCAACGUCGUAUCGCUAUCCGUUCUGAUAAUAGUUGACGGUGGCCCUGUCUGGUAGCCAUUGCCGGCGUUGCUGUCUGCACCAUUACGACAGCAUCUCUCCAUCGCAUCGUUUUUGCUGCGACAGCAGUACCAGCAUCAGUCACAGCAUCCUGCAGAAGCGAAACGGGAUAAACAGUGGGAUAAUGGCAGCCGAGGCUGCCUUAUGGCUAUUGCUGUCCGUUAACGAAAAGCUGCGCACAGAGGGGCUACCGCUGAUGAGAAGUCGAAGGCAAUCAAGCGAUACCAGCGCCACUGCACGACCAGCACUAGCAUCACCUAUCACCCGAAGACACGAGAACACCUAACGAAGUAAUUGACAAUGACUGGCAGAGCGAGCACAACACGUCGCUUGUGCCGCCGACGCUGCUGAGUUACCGGCGGCAAAGAAAGGCCCAAGACAGAUUGCUUGAUGAACAGAUAGGUGAGGCCAGUGACGUGGCGUCGCUUGCCACCUCGCCCACUAUUAGAGGUGGUCCGCUGUAAUAGCUACGCAUGUACAGAGUUACACCAGGAACAACCGAACGGAAAGAAACUCCACUGGUAUUAGAAGGCGCUGGGUCUCUCGCCUCUAAGACAGUUCAGCGGUCCAGUGAACCACUAAAUCUCAGCGAGUCAGUCGUACACAAAAACCUCACUUGUAUCUGCUUUUCGCUCUUAGGCCUUGAAGAAGACGGCGAAGGCUGACAGACGACCUUUUGUCGCGGGUCGGUCCGAAGACUCGUUCAUUCUCUAUUGCGUCCUUCUGUUAAUCUCUCUGUUGCAACGCUAAUAGGAAGAAUAGAAGUCGCGCAGCUUCCGCCUCAGAGUGGAAGGUAUAAGCAGGCAGGCAGACAGGCAGGCAGGCAGGAAAGGCCGCGAGGGCUAUGAUAACGAUAUCUGUUUGUUCGCCAUUUCGGCACUGGUCAGUUGAUUCAGCAAUGGCUUGUUCGCGCUUGUUGACUACUCUUUACUGGUGACUGCCAAGGCCUGGUGCAAAAAGCGACGCAGCAGUUGUGAAACAGGCGCUGGCCGGCUCGCUUGCUUUCCAUCAUUUGCAUCGAAAGGCGUCAAAAACGAGCGGGCGAAUUAGACACAGCAGCGAACAACUGCGUGGUAGGGAGGCUGCCAUAACGACUUCAGUCACUGAAAGAGACCGCUGUUGUUGCUUUUUUGUCGACAACGGCGGGGAUGCUUCUUCUGCUGCUGCAUCAUGCGAAAAAAUACACUCUUCUGUCGUCGGCUUUCAUUGCCCUGUACGUCUGAGUCGUUUUUUUUUUUCGCUUCUUAUCGCUGCUGCGGCGGCUGUUCCUUGUCCUUUGUUUGCACACUUCCAUUCGGGUCUCUUUCGCCCUUUUGCUUCUGGCAACGAUAGCGAUUUCCCAAACGUGUACAACGAAGACUACCAAUAACAUCAUCUUCGUUGAACUCCGCACUAUCGUCGCAGAGCUCAGCGACGAUAACUGCCAAUCGUAAAGAAACGAAGUGACGACAUUGUAUAGUUUGUAUGAUUGGUCUUUAACGGGGUCUGGAUGCGAUGAAUGGCGCACUAGGAUGCUCUCAAAAUGCAUACCGUAGAUUUGCGAGGUCGAUGCGGGCCAAACUAUGGAACUGCCAAUGCUUCAGCACAGCGUCGCUCCAACUCAGAAGAUCCAUUUCGGUAUCUAUUCGUUGCAUCCCUUUGAUUCGGCGUUGCAUGCAAGGAAGUGAGUGUUCUGAAAUGCAAGAUUAAUGAAUGUUCGCAGCAGAAGACAUCUUUGACAGACGAUCUCCACAACGGGAUUUACUUACUAGAAGAGCCGAUGCGAUCUGAACUGAAUAAAUAGACGUAUAGAUACGAAUCCCAUACCGUUGUGGUCUCAUGUUGGGGUUCAGUGCAAUA